CGAUGAACCCCUUCCGGGUGGAUUUUUGUGGAACGGGUGAGUAUCACGUGGGCGAUCUGCCCUUCUCUCUGGGACACGCCCUGUGAACGGGGUCUAAUACCGGAUAACCCCGGGUUCCGCAUGGCAGCUGGUUGAAAGCUCCCGCGGUGAAAGAGGAGCCCCCGGCCUAUCUCCUUGUUGGUGGGGUAAUGGGCUACCCCGGCGACAACAGGGAUCCGGCCUGAGAGGGGGACCGGCCCCACUGGGACUGAGACACGGCCCCCACUCCUACGGGAGGCAGCAGUGGGGAAUAUUGCGCAAUGGGCGAAAGCCUGAUGCACCGACACCCCGUGAGGGAUGACAGCCUUCUGGUUGUAAACCUCUUUCUCCACGGAAAAAACGAAAGUGACAGUACCUGCGCAAAAAACGCCGGCUAACUACAUGCCCCCACCCCCGGUAAUACAUAUGGCGCAAGCGUUGUCCGGAAUUAUUGGGCGUAAAGAGCUCGUAUGCGGCUUGUCACGUCUGGUGUGAAAGCCCGGGGCUUAACCCCGGGUCUGCAUCCUAUACGGGCAGGCUAUAGUGUGGUAUGGGAGAUCGGAAUUCCUGGUGUAUCGGUGAAAUGCGCACAUAUCACGAGGAACACCGGUGGCGAAAGCGGAUCUCUGUGCCAUUACUGACACUCAGGAGCGAAAGCGUGUGGAGCGAACA
rnacentral:rRNA from 1 species